ACACAUGACACCAGCAAUGUUUUUAUUUGAUUGGUCACAUGUUGCGGGAACAUAUUUGUCUCGGACUUUACAUUGAUCAAGACUUUUUUCAUAACCUUUACAAUUAACGGAUGGGAAAAUUGGUAAACUUUGAUUACUGGUAAACUCUCCAAUUGAAGCAAACUGGCCAUAACCAAGACCCAAAGAGCGACAAACAACCAUUGCUUCCAAUAAAGACCAACCAUUACCACAAACAGUGUACCAAAUCACACCAGCGGCUUCAAUGGUCACACAAUCAUGGAUUUUCCAGCCAUCAAACUGACAUUGAUCUAUUCUAGUUUCGUUUCCAUUACAGUAUAAAUUGUCCAUCCAUAUUAACUCUAUAUUAAGAUAAGUGACGGUUUUAGUUUCAUUAAAACUCUAAUCUUAAAAUGGCUAAUUAUACUUACUUCGUCCUUUGCCAAAUUGUGAGUUGCUGGUUGGAAUGGCGGCAUGUUUAGAGUAACCGAGACUCGUACAAAUUACUGAAGCCUCUUUCUCAUCCCAUUCAUCGUCACAAAUUGAUCCCCACCGACCAAGAUGAUAAAUUUCAACAUUACCUUCAUGUUGACUUGAUCCACCGACCAACCUAACUCGACCCUCACUGAUUGUAGCUCUCCUUCUUGAGCCUUGAUUACGACGACGAUGACGGCCUGCCAAGUUGUACAAAUAUUGGCAAGAGACGAUUGAAGUCAGGUAAAUUGUGAGGAUAAAACAACAAGCUGUGUGAUAAUUUAAAUUCAUGAUAGCGUUAAAGUCAACAAUAUUUACAAGACUGACUAACUGUCUAACGAUUGAAGACAAAAAAAGUGAUGAAGCAAAAAAUGACCCACAAAAAUUGCAGAUUGAAUAACAUCAAUCUAUAACAAUUUAGCUUACUCCCGAUCACCUAAUUCGAUCCGCUUUUACUAUCUUUGGAAAGAUGAUUUUUUAUCUAUGAGUGUUUUAAAUUUCUUUGAGAAUAAGUCUGAUGUUAGAAUAAUUACUCAUAAUUCAGGAUUUUAGGUCAGAAUGAAUUGAAGGCAAGGUCUCAGACUGUGUUGCUAAUGAUGUUUUUAAGUGAAAAUAAAGUUGUUUGCGAAAAU